CGCGUAGGCGGAUGCUUAAGUCAGAGGUGAAAGCCCAGGGCUCAACCUUGGAACUGCCUUUGAUACUGGGCAUCUUGAGUACGGGAGAGGUGAGUGGAACUCCGAGUGUAGAGGUGAAAUUCGUAGAUAUUCGGAAGAACACCAGUGGCGAAGGCGACUCACUGGCCCGUUACUGACGCUGAGGCGCGAAAGCGUGGGGAGCAAACAGGAUUAGAUACCCUGGUAGUCCACGCUGUAAACGAUGAGUGCUAGUUGUCGGCAUGCAUGCAUGUCGGUGACGCAGCUAACGCAUUAAGCACUCCGCCUGGGGAGUACGGUCGCAAGAUUAAA
rnacentral:rRNA from 1 species